AACGAACGCUGGCGGCGUGCCUAACACAUGCAAGUCGAACGAGAAAGGGGCUUCGGCUCCGAGUAAAGUGGCGCACGGGUGAGUAACACGUGGGUAACCUGCCUCUAAGAUUGGGAUAACUCGUCGAAAGAUGAGCUAAUACCGAAUAAGACCACAGUUCCCGCGGGAACAGGGGUCAAAGGUAGCCUCUGCUUGCAAGCUAUCACUUAGAGAUGGGCCUGCGCACCAUUAGCUAGUUGGUAGGGUAACGGCCUACCAAGGCAAAGAUGGUUAGCUGGUCUGAGAGGAUGAUCAGCCCCACUGGAACUGAGACACGGUCCAGACUCCUACGGGAGGCAGCAGUGGGGAAUAUUGCGCAAUGGGCGAAAGCUUGACGCAGCAACGCCGCGUGAGUGAUGAAGGCCUUCGGGUCGUAAAGCUCUGUCGGGAGGAACGAAUGCUCCUGAGGUUAACAGCCUCGGGAGGUGACGGUACCUUCAAAGGAAGCACCGGCUAACUCUGUG
rnacentral:rRNA from 1 species